UAUAAACAAAAGAGUUAAUAAUAUUUUUAUUAAACUAUUAUUAUUAUUAUUAUUAUUUAAUCCUUUAAUUAUUAUUAUUAUUAUCAUGUAUUGACCUAUUCACUCUUAUUAUACAUAAUUGAGUUUCAAAUAAAAAUAUUUAAUUAAAAUGAUCAUAUUCAUAAUAUUAGUGUACAGUUUGAAAAAACAACUAAUUAACAUAUUGAAAAAAAACUACUUACCAUAUUAAAAAUAGAAAAAACUAAUUUAUUUUUUAAACGAAAAAAGAGUAUAUAUUUUAUAAAUUC
rnacentral:lncRNA from 1 species